UAUAAUGUGUGUUUGUCUUUGUUUAAUUUGUAACAAAGCCUUCCAGACAGAUGUGAACAGUAAAUCCACUUUGCAACCCAGAACUUAUUGUUGAGUAAGAGAUUUUGUAAGAAGGAAUCUG
rfam:Dipodomys ordii contig_28292, whole genome shotgun sequence.